rnacentral:rRNA from 1 species
ACCGGCGCACGGGUGCGUAACGCGUAUACAUCUACCUUGUACUGAGGGAUAGCCCAGAGAAAUUUGGAUUAAUACCUCAUAGUACGGCAUCGUUAAAGGUUACGGUACAAGAUGAGUAUGCGUCCUAUUAGUUUGUUGGUAAGGUAACGGCUUACCAAGACUACGAUAGGUAGGGGCCCUGAGAGGGGGAUCCCCCACACUGGUACUGAGACACGGACCAGACUCCUACGGGAGGCAGCAGUGAGGAAUAUUGGACAAUGGAGGAGACUCUGAUCCAGCCAUGCCGCGUGCAGGAAGACGGCCUAUGGGUUGUAAACUGCUUUUAUACAGGAAGAAACAGUCCCUCGUGAGGGAUCUUGACGGUACUGUAAGAAUAAGGACCGGCUAACUCCGUGCCAGCAGCCGCGGUAAUACGGAGGGUCCGAGCGUUAUCCGGAAUCAUUGGGUUUAAAGGGUCCGUAGGCGGGCAGCUCAGUCAGUGGUGAAAGUCUGCAGCUCAACUGUAGAAUUGCCAUUGAUACUGGUUGUCUUGAAUUAUUAUGAAGUGGUUAGAAUAUGUAGUGUAGCGGUGAAAUGCAUAGAUAUUACAUAGAAUACCGAUUGCGGAGGCAGAUCACUAAUAAUAUAUUGACGCUGAGGGACGAAAGCGUGGGGAGCGAACAGGAUUAGAUACCCUGGUAGUCCACGCCGA